rnacentral:rRNA from 1 species
CUAUGCGCCUUGCCAGCCCGCUCAGUCAGAGUUUGAUCCUGGCUCAGAUUGAACGCUGGCGGCAUGCUAUACACAUGCAAGUCGAACGGCAGCGCGGGGCAACCUGGCGGCGAGUGGCGAACGGGUGAGUAAUAUAUCGGAACGUACCCAGAAGUGGGGGAUAACGUAGCGAAAGUUACGCUAAUACCGCAUACGAUCUACGGAUGAAAGUGGGGGACCUUCGGGCCUCAUGCUUUUGGAGCGGCCGAUAUCUGAUUAGCUAGUUGGUAGGGUAAAGGCCUACCAAGGCAACGAUCAGUAGCUGGUCUGAAAGGACGACCAGCCACACUGGAACUGAGACACGGUCCAG